CUACGGGCGGCUCCAGUGAGGAAUUUUGCGCAAUGGGGGAAACCCUGACGCAGCAACGCCGCGUGAGUGAUGAAGGCCUUCGGGUCGUAAAGCUCUGUCAAGUGGGAAGAAUAUACAAAAUGCCAAUACCAUUUUGUACUGACGGUACCACUGAAGGAAGCACCGGCUAACGUCCGUGCCAGCAGCCGCGGUAAUACGGGGGGUGCAAGCGUUAUUCGGAAUUAUUGGGCGUAAAGCGCACGUAGGCGGCCGCUUAAGUCAGAUGUGAAAGCCCGGGGCUCAACCCCGGAAGGGCAUUUGAAACUAAGUGGCUUGAGUAUGGGAGAGGGAAGUGGAAUUCCUGGUGUAGAGGUGAAAUUCGUAGAUAUCAGGAGGAACACCGGUGGCGAAGGCGACUUCCUGGACCAAUACUGACGCUGAGGUGCGAAGGCGUGGGGAGCAAACAGGAUUAGAUACCCCAGUAGUC
rnacentral:rRNA from 1 species